CAAAUUGAGAGUUUGAUCCUGGCUCAGGACGAACGCUGGCGGCGUGCCUAAUACAUGCAAGUCGAGCGAGCUGAAUUCAAAGAUUCCUUCGGGAUGAUUUGUUGGACGCUAGCGGCGGAUGGGUGAGUAACACGUGGGCAAUCUGCCUAAAGACUGGGAUACCACUUGGAAACAGGUGCUAAUACCGGAUAACAACAUGAAUCGCAUGAUUCAAGUUUGAAAGGCGGCGUAAGCUGUCACUUUAGGAUGAGCCGCGGCGCAUUAGCUAGUUGGUGGGGUAAAGGCCUACCAAGGCAAUGAUGCGUAGCCGAGUUGAGAGACUGAUCGGCCACAUUGGGACUGAGACACGGCCCAAACUCCUACGGGAGGCAGCAGUAGGGAAUCUUCCACAAUGGACGCAAGUCUGAUGGAGCAACGCCGCGUGAGUGAAGAAGGUUUUCGGAUCGUAAAGCUCUGUUGUUGGUGAAGAAGGAUAGAGGCAGUAACUGGUCUUUAUUUGACGGUAAUCAACCAGAAAGUCACGGCUAACUACGUGCCAGCAGCCGCGGUAAUACGUAGGUGGCAAGCGUUGUCCGGAUUAUUGGGCGUAAAGCGAGCGCAGGCGGAAUGAUAAGUCUGAUGUGAAAGCCCACGGCUCAACCGUGGAACUGCAUCGGAAACUGUCAUUCUUGAGUGCAGAAGAGGAGAGUGGAAUUCCAUGUGUAGCGGUGGAAUGCGUAGAUAUAUGGAAGAACACCAGUGGCGAAGGCGGCUCUCUGGUCUGCAACUGACGCUGAGGCUCGAAAGCAUGGGUAGCGAA
rnacentral:rRNA from 1 species